rnacentral:lncRNA from 1 species
AUUUAUCUUACUGUGCUUUUUCCUGGUCACAGGUGGAAUGCCUAAAUCUGUAGCACCAUCAAAUAUGAUUAAUGCUUCAUGCAAGUGUAGGCCAUGGUCUCUCCUUUUUAGCAGCUUUAUUGCUUCUAUUUUGCUUUUUCUUUUGUAAAACAGUAUCUUGGCACAUCCCCCACCUGUUGUUUUGAUUGUCAGAUGGAAUAACACUAAGAACUCACAUCCUCAAAACAACUCUAUAUGCUGUGUGGCCUUUUAUGCAGAAGUUCAUUCCUCUGUGUGCAGAGUGGCUGCCGUUCAAAGCUUCCCACUUUGAACACCUGCCUCACAAAGUGGUCUUCUCUGCAUGUGGGUGAAAAUCCAUUUAUUUAGAGUGUUGGGAAGCUCUGCCCUUCCCAAGGACAUGUGUGAACAGAGGUCAGGUCACCCCAACACCAGGAGCAGGAGAUAGCCAUGUUGGCAGAGCUCCGUCUUUGGUGUUAGCAGGUAAUCAGCUGCUUGAAUACAAUUUCUUGUGCCACUGAGUUACUUUGCUAUGUACUUUUCCUAUGCCAGAGAUCCUGAAAAAACAAGUUGGCUGCUGUUGCUGAAGAAAGCAUCAAAGAAAUUCUUCACCCUCACACUAUGCCUCCAUCCUUGCAGCAGGAAGAAUGAGGCUCCCUGCAGGCUUCCAUGCCCUGAACUCUCUCAUUCCUGGGCCAAGGCAUUCUGGCUCCCAAACCCUAGUGACAUUUCAGAAGUUUACUGAGCAUAUUCAAUGAAAUCUCAAGUAAAUGAGAAACAAUAUACAGGGCAGAUGUGCUUGGAUAGACCUACAGGAAUCUGUGCAACAGAAAAACAGUAGUAGGCAGCAUUAACGCAUGCGAAGUAUUCCUAACAGUACUGUGGCGUAUUUGGUGAGUAAGUAUCUCAUAGAUGGUUGAAGGUAGGAGCUAACAUCACAUCUCUUAGUGACAUCAUGCUACUAAUGAGAGACAGCAAAAGUAACUCCCAGCCCCAGCUCUCCUGUGCUGUCUGGCUGCUUGCGUUGAAAACAAAGAGCAGCAUCUCUGAGGCUGGUACAGAAGAUGCAAUCACAUUGCAGAUGCUCAGAAAGGGAUCCCAGAUUAAAUCUUAUUGCUCUUUGGAGUAUGAUUCCCGUGUCGCAUUACAUUUGGG